rnacentral:rRNA from 1 species
GGAAGUAAAAGUCGUAACAAGGUUUCCGUAGGUGAACCUGCGGAAGGAUCAUUAUCGUACAAAAUGUGUGAGGCAUGCAAGGGCUGUCGCUGACUUUUAAGUCGUGCACGCCAGAGUUGUGUCCUCUCACAUAAAAUCCAUCUCACCCAUUUGUGCACCACCGCGUGGGCAACCUUCGGGAUCAAACCGAUCCAGGGAGGGGGCUUGCGUUUUCACACAAACCCCUUUUUAAAAAGUGUAGAAUGACCCCAUUUUUGUGAUAACACGCAAUCAAUACAACUUUCAACAACGGAUCUCUUGGCUCUCGCAUCGAUGAAGAACGCAGCGAAAUGCGAUACGUAAUGUGAAUUGCAGAAUUCAGUGAAUCAUCGAAUCUUUGAACGCACCUUGCGCCCCUUGGUAUUCCGAGGGGCACACCCGUUUGAGUGUCGUGAAUAUCUCAACCUUCUCGGUUUCUUCUGGACACCGAAGUAGGCUUGGACUUUGGAGGCCUUUGCUGGCAUCUCGUCAGCUCCUCUCAAAUGAAUUAGCGGGGUCCUCUUUGCCGAUCCUCGACAUGUGAUAAGAUGUUUACCAUGUCUUGGCUUCUGGCUCUGUUGCUCUUGGGACCCGCUUCUAACCGUCUCGUUGAGACAACGUUUGAGCGUGUCUCCCUUCUCGGGAAACUCUCUCGAACCCACGAACCCUUGACCUCAAAUCGGGUGAGACUAC